rnacentral:lncRNA from 1 species
GGGGGGGCGGGGAAUUGUCUGGUCUGUGCCCCCCCCCAGGCCCAGAGAUCUGGGUCCUGCUCUGGCUGGGGGAGGGGGGCCAAGAGGGUGGGUACGGGUCUGGGGGGAGGGGCCGAGCCUGCCCUGCCCAUCCCCCUUGACACCACCAGGAGAUUCAGGGCCAUUGGCCCAAGCCCGACCUGUGACCUGGGGGAUCACAAUUGAUGAUGUCACAACCAGACUCCAUUGGCCUCAGUCCUGGGGGUGAGGCCUCAAGGGCUGCCCAGUCCUGCCUGUGCCCAGCCUGGGUUUCAGCCGGGCCAGUCUCGGCUCCAGCCCGGAGCUAGGGACCAGGCAGCGGCAGCGCGUGUGUCUGUGCCACCUGAUAGGGAGGCCUCCAGUGCGGACUGUGCAGCAAGACCCCCCAUGGCAGCUGCAGAGCAGCCUUAGCACAAUCUCCCCAGAGACCAACUGCCCUUCUCGGCCCAGACUCCACAGUCCUGGGGGUGAGGCGCCCGGGGCUGCUCAGACCUGCCCUGCCCAGCCGGGGUGUCAGUUGGGCCAGCCUCUGCUGCCACCUGAGAAAUCUGAUGGAGGCCCGGGCUGUAGCUGCUGCCAAGCUGCUUGGAAGUCACCCAGGUGGGGAUGCUGGCAAGGCCCUUGGGACAGUAGAAAGGCCGCUCUGGAGGCCACCAGUGCGGAUUGUGCAGCAAGAUCCCCCGUGGCAGCUCCAGAGGAGCGUCAGCACAGAUCUCCGCAGAGACCAACUGCCGAUCUCAUCCCCAGACACAUCAGAAGUUGCCUGCUCCCUGACAGCUCCCAUCAGGCCCAGCAGCUGUGAGGAAGAGAACCAUUGAGGUGGCUUAGGAAGAAAUGCCCGAGGAAUGACAAUCUCUCUGCUGUCACACUGCCCGGGCAGGACUGGCCCUAAUUGUGCAACUUCCUUCCCUCCUGAACAAGAGGCAGAAAACGGCCCUGCUGGGCCAGAAGCAGCAUCUUUCUGUGGGGCACCAGGACCACCAGACAUCGGGUCAGCUGAGGCAUGGUCCUCUAGGACCGAGCCCGACUGCUGCCCGCUCAGACCCUGAGUGCCCGGGCGGCUGCCUCUGGGGCGUGAUGCAUCGGGUCAAUAAACACGCCUCUGAGGAAC